GAUGAACGCUAGCUACAGGCUUAACACAUGCAAGUCGAGGGGCAGCAUGGUCUUAGCUUGCUAAGGCCGAUGGCGACCGGCGCACGGGUGAGUAACGCGUAUCCAACCUGCCUUACACUCUUGGACAGCCUUCUGAAAGGGAGAUUAAUACAAGAUGUUAUCAUGAGUAAGCAUUUUCGCAUGAUUAAAGGUUUACCGGUGUAAGAUGGGGAUGCGUUCCAUUAGAUAGUUGGCGGGGUAACGGCCCACCAAGUCGACGAUAGCUAGGGGAUCUGAGAGGACGGUCCCCCACACUGGUACUGAGACACGGACCAG
rnacentral:rRNA from 1 species